CGACGAUACAAAGCCCUGAUCAAUGGAGUGAAGAUAUUACGAGUCACCAUGGCAACAGGACAACAAAAGACGUCCGGAAAUGGAUAUGAUACGUCAAGCAUAUAGCGACUAAGUGUCACGAACGCUCGGAUGAGGACCCAAAUGCACAGCGUAACACAGCUUGACGGUGGUCAAAAGGUGGUUUAUUCCAGGUUAGGCAGAGACAGCGUCAGGGACAGGCAAGGUUCAUACACGAGAAGCAAUACGAGGGUUACAAUACCAAAUAGUCGAGCGCAGGAUCGUGGUCAGGCAGGCAAGGUCGGUAACAGGCAGGGUACAACACCAAGGCAGACAGAACAGGCAGGGAUUAGGCAGGCUCAGAAUCAGCAGUCCAGAAACAGGGUACAUGAAACACGGUCGGAUAGAAACAAUGAACUGGGACUAUGAUGGGAACACACAAACAACGAUCUGGCAAAGAGCUAGGAAAACAGGUGGUGGUUAAAUACAGGGAGUUGAUCACUGAUUCUAAACAGGUGUGUGUAAUGAAGACCGGUACUGAGAGGGAAGAGCUGUGACAUCGGGUAAACAGGAAGUAAAGCAGGGACAGAAACAGAACCCGGGAGUGCUACCAAAAUAAAACCGGAAAUGGAAACUGGAACCAAACUAAAACAAGGAACAGAGCCAGAGACUGUGACACUACGAGUCUAUAAUCCGUAGAAAAAGCAAGACGGCUGCAGCGGCGAAAGAGAAAGAAUUAGCUUGGAAGAAAAUAGCUCCUCGAGUCAAUGCCCAACAGAAAAAAGGCAGAGGCUAGAACAACUGGUGGAGGACCUGCACCUCCACCUCUGACGCAUGCAGAGGAGAAGGCCCUCAGCCUGAACACUGGAAAGUGGAGGCUGAAGGAAUUCAUCAGAACCCGUCACUCCCCAGGAUACAAGUGCAUUUGUAAAAUAUUCUGAUGGUAAUAUAUGAAUCCUCCUGUCACAACAGAAGCCCAGGAUGUUAGUGUGGAAGAACAGCAGGAGGAGGUCAGUCACAUUCUGCUGCACAGAUGCACACAGUUCAGUGAUGUUCAGUAAAUGCCAGAGUUCAAUUCUGUAAGAGUAAUGAGGAACAUGUCAUGUCAAGAUGUCAUGUAACUCUAAAUCUUCUGUAUUUUAAGUUACCGGUUAUUGAGUUGUAUAAACUAAAUCUCAAGGAAAUGUUAUACUUGUGCCACAAGAUUGAAAAGCCAGAUCUAGAAAUUGAAAUUCCCAAACACAAGCUGGAGAGAGUGUAUAGUUAAAGGUGAAUUGUAUGAAUAAUUGGAAGAAUCAUAAAAUCUAACAAUUGCCUUUGUAUUUGUAGGAAAUGAAAAAAAAAACAAAUAAAUUAUGAUUUAAAUCUAUUCAGUUUCUUUUAUUGGUGGUGGUGGUGAUGGUUGAUUAAGACAUUAAAGCAAAUCUGUCCAUCCACUCUGCAGAUCACUGUGAUGGAAGGAGUCUUCCUCAGGGUCUUGUAUUUUUAGGACAGGGUGU